AACGAACGCUGGCGGCAUGCCUAACACAUGCAAGUCGAACGAGACCUUCGGGUCUAGUGGCGCACGGGUGCGUAACGCGUGGGAACCUGCCCUUAGGUUCGGAAUAACUCCCCGAAAGGGGUGCUAAUACCGGAUAAUGUCUUCGGACCAAAGAUUUAUCGCCUUUGGAUGGGCCCGCGUUGGAUUAGCUAGUUGGUAGGGUAAAAGCCUACCAAGGCGACGAUCCAUAGCUGGUCUGAGAGGAUGAUCAGCCACACUGGGACUGAGACACGGCCCAGACUCGUACGGGAGGGAGCAGUGGGGAAUAUUGGACGAUGGGCGAAAGCCUGAUCCAGCAAUGCCGCGUGAGUGAUGAAGGGCUUAGGGUUGUAAAGCUCUUUUACCCGAGAUGAUAAUGACAGUACCGGGAGAAGAAGCACCGGCUAACUACGUG
rnacentral:rRNA from 1 species